rnacentral:rRNA from 1 species
UCGGGAAUUUUGGGCAAUGGGCGAAAGCCUGACCCAGCAACGCCGCGUGAAGGAUGAAGUAUUUCGGUAUGUAAACUUCGAAAGAAUAGGAAGAAUAAAUGACGGUACUAUUUAUAAGGUCCGGCUAGCUACGUGCCAGCAGCCGCGGUAAUACGUAGGGACCAAGCGUUGUUCGGAUUUACUGGGCGUAAAGGGCGCGUAGGCGGCAAUUCAAGUCAUCUGUGAAAUCUCCGGGGCUUAACUCGGAACGGUCAGAUGAUACUGCUUUGCUAGAGUGCAGAAGGGGCAAUCGGAAUUCUUGGUGUAGCGGUGAAAUGCGUAGAUAUCAAGAGGAACACCUGAGGUGAAGACGGGUUGCUGGGCUGACACUGACGCUGAGGCGCGAAAGCCAGGGGAGCAAACGGGAUU